AUAAUAAAAUGAUAUUUUUAUUAUUAUUAUUUAAUUAAUUUAUAAAAAAUAAUUUAUAAAUUUAGUAUUUUAUAAUGAAAUUUUUAUAGUUAAUAUAAAUUAAUCUAAAGAUUAAUUAAUUUUUUUUAAAAAAUAAUAAUUAAUUUUUAGUACCUUUUGUAUCAGGGUUAUUUAAAAUUAUUUAAUUAUUUUAAUUUUCUCAAUUUAAAAAGUUCAAUUUUUAAUUAAAUUUUAUUAUUUUAUAAAUAUAAAUAAAUUAAAAAUAGAAAUUAAAUGUUUACGAUUUUUAAUAUAUUUAGUUUUUUAUGAAAAAAAUUUAAUUUUAAAAUUUUUUAAAAAUAAAUUAAUUUAUAAUAAUUUAAUUUUAAAAAUAACUUUAAAUUAAAUUAGGGAUUAUCUUAAUUUAAUAAAAUAAAAAUUUUAUUAAAUAAAUUUUAUUUUAUAAUUUUUUAAAUAAUUAUUAAUUAAAAUAAUUUAAUAAUUUAAUUAAUUUAUAAUUAUUAUUUUAUAAUUAAAUUUUAUUUUUUAAUAAAAUUAUUAUUUAAAUUAAUUAAAAUAAUUUAAUAAUGAAUAAAUUAGUAAAAAUUAAUAUUAAUAAAUAAAAUUUAAGAAUUCGGCAAAUUUUAUAUUCAAAUGUUUAUCAAAAACUUUUUUUUUUUAUUAAUAAAAAAUAUGAUCUGCCCAUUGAAUAAAUUUUUAAAAGGCCGCAGUAUAUUGACUGUGCAAAGGUAGCAUAAUCAUUAGGUUUUUAAUUAAGAUCUGGAAUGAAUGAUUAAAUGAAAUAUAAUCUUUUUUAAUUUUAUUAAUUGAAUUUUAUAUUUUAGUUAAAAUUCUAAAUUUAAAAAAAGGGACGAUAAGACCCUUUAAAAUUUAAUAUUUUAAUUAUUAUUAUUAUUGUUUAUAAAUUAUUUAUAAAAUAAUAUAUAGAAUAUUUUAUUGGGGAGAUAAUUAAAUUUAAAAAACUUUAAUAUUUAUUGUUUCAUUAAUUUUUGUUAAAAUGAUCUUUUUUUAAAGAUUAUUAAAAUAAAUUACUUUAGGGAUAACAGCAUAAUAAUUUUAAAAAGUUCUUAUUUUUAAAAUAAUUUAUGACCUCGAUGUUGGAUUAAAAAAAUUUUUAUAUGAAGAUAUAUAAUUAAAUAAGUCUGUUCGACUUUUAAUUUUUUACAUAAUCUGAGUUCAAACCGGUGUGAGCCAGGUUGGUUUCUAUCUUUUUUAAAUUAAUAAAAAUUUAGUACGAAAGGAUUAAUUUUUUUAAUAUUAUU
rnacentral:rRNA from 1 species